rnacentral:rRNA from 1 species
CGGGCGUGGAUUAGGCAUGCAAGUCGAACGAGAAUCUGGAGGUUCAAGUUUCGGACAAGAACUUUACGGAGGAAAGUGGCGGAAGGGUGAGUACAACAUGGAUAAUCUACCUUCAAGUUGGGUAUAGCUUCCCGAAAGGGGAGAUAAUCCCGAAUGUGGUGAUCCGGCGCCUGUCGGAGAAUCCAAAGGUGGGGACCGCAAGGCCUGCCGCUUGAAGAUGAGUCCGUGCACUAUCAGCUAGUUGGUGAGGUAAGAGCUCACCAAGGCGAUGAUAGAUAGGCGGCCUUAACGGGUGGUCGCCCACACUGGGAUUGAGAUACGGCCCAGACUCCUACGGGAGGCAGCAGUCGAGAAUAGUCUACAAUGGCCGGAAGGCUGAUAGUGCGACGCCGCGUGAACGAGGGAGCCCUUCGGGGUGUAAAGUUCUUUUCUAUACGAGCAGUGCUAUAUAUAUGGAUAGUAUAUAUAGAGGGAUAGUAGUAUAGGAAUAAGCAACGGCUAACUCCGUG